UGGUUUGCAUCAAAUUUUAUUAUUUUAAUUAUAUUUAAACUCUCGAUUUAGCUUGGAGUUUAACCAUUAUGGCCCAAAAUUUGCACUCACACAUCCAAACACUAGAUAUUAAUAAAGGUGAAUUUCAUUCAUUUAUAUCAAACAAUUACAAAGUUUGGAUUGUAGAAGGAAAAGAAAAGAGAUAUAGGUUAUUGCCUCGAAGCACCACCAAGAUGGCUUGCUUCAGAAUGGCCUCCUUUAGCAUUAGUAACUUCAUCAAUUUGGACGGCCACAUUGAUGUUGUUCUUCUCAGCAAAGUGGUGAGAUAUCCUAGCAAACUUUUUCAUGCUAUCCGCCGCU
rnacentral:lncRNA from 1 species